CAUGGAGAGAAAGAGCAACAGAAAGGAGCUGAGGAGAACGAGAGAGAAGCAGGACAGCAAAAACAGAAAGGAAACAAGAUAGAGAAAGAGAAACUGAUAACGGGCAGAAGACACUGAGGAAAAGAGAACACAGGAAUGUUGGUAGUGAAACUAGAGAUUGAGAGACGCAGCAGGAAAUAACAAGAGUAAGAAAGAAAGAAAGACUGAGAACGAUUAUAAGAAACUGAGAGGCUCACUGAGAAAUGGAAAAAGAGAAAGUGUAAGAAUGAGUUUAGGGCAAAGGACCUUCUAAACCUCUCCCUCUCCCUCUUCCUCUCUCCCCCUCUUUCUCUCCCACCUCCCCCUCUCCCUCUCUCCCCCUCUCCCUCUCUUUCUCUCUCUCUCUCCUUUCUCUACUCCCUAUCCCACACCCAUUAGGUUUCUACCGCUCUGGGCUGGGAGCCAAGACUUGCUUCUCUUCUGCCACCUCAGAUGACACCUGCUGGGAGAGAGGAGCGGGUGCCUGUAUACCAGAGCAGGAUGGGGUGCUCAGGCCUGGCAGAGAGACCUCUGUCUUCCCAAUACCUCUCAAACAGCAAGAAGGAAGCGGAGCAGUUUGGAAGCCGUGGCAGGCGCCGAGAGCGCCUCUGAACCGGAGCCUGGGAGGGGAGAGAAAGAAGAGGAGAAGCCAAGGGGCUGCUCUUCGGCCUCCUCCCCCAACCUUGGAGGAUUCCUCCCCUACCCCUCCAAGGCGGCUGCAGCCCCACCCCCCACCCCCGAAGAACGCGACCUCCUAGCCCGGACUCCGAGCUCCGCGGAUUCAGUCUCCCGGGCCAGAGUCCUUUCCACCCCACCCUAGUGCUUCCAGUCCCAACCACUGGAGACCAAGUCGGGUGAAGUGGGGAAAGGGAAGUAAGCACCCAACGAGGGACCCAGAAGGGCCUCAUGGCUCUACGAAGCUAGUAGGCUCUCUUCCCACUCGCUCUUCCAAGUACCCUCUCCCCGCCCCUGCGCGCGCGCCCUAUCUCGCCAGGGUUCAUCUGGGUCCUGGUCCACUCUGCCUUCCUGAGAACUGAAUCCACCGAACUCCUGGAGAAGGAGGUGCCCAGCCUCUUCUUCCUGCCUGGAUGUUUGCUUCUACUGCCCGACUCCCUCCCCAGAGGAGGAUUGGCUAGGGAGAUUGCCACUCGCAGUGUGCAAAUUGUGCAUCGCACAACUCCAGGGGGCACCAUUUCUCUUGUGGUCAUUGUAGGUUUCUGUAGCUGUUAUGACAGUUUUCCAGCAGAUGGCAGCCAAGCAUUUCGAGGUAGGGGUGCCUUUUCCUAAUUCAGCCAGCGUUGCUAUUUGGGCUAGUGCUUGGGGCUGGCUAGGCCCUCUGUGAGAUCCUAUUGGUGCCUGUUUCCCCCACCCUUGCCUCAGUCCUACUGGGAUCCGGAGGGACUCUAGAUUAGCAUUUGAGCAGAGACCUGUCUCCUAGGUUUUCUCUCUGGUCCCCCAGGUACUCACCCAUCCUCCCCCACAAAGGCUUCUGCUGUCCUGGAGCUGGUUUCAGGGUAAGAGUGCCUGUCAGGACACAAUCAGUGACCCACUGUGGAUUUUUUGUUAUUAUUUUAUUUUUUUUAUUUAUUUAUUUUGGCUUGGCUUGGCUUGGCUUAGCCUAGAAAGCGGCAAGGCAGCCAAGCCAGAGUGCAGAUCAGAGACUGUUUUCCUGCUUCCUGCUUCCUCUCCCAGGGCAGCAGUCUCACAGCAAUUAGGCCCUCUCCUACUUUCUCCAAGUGUAGACUGUCCAGGUGAUAGGAGGAAGAGAGGGGCUGGAAGCUGAACUUGUAGGGACAGAACCAAAAAGUUGCAAACUGACGGCACCUACUGGCAAUCAUCAAGACUGCAGAAGGUCUGGAGAGUUCUGGUGGGGCUCAGAUGCUGGGAUUCUCUUCCUCAUGUCCCUGGGGGAAGCCCAGCCCGUCCCUCAUUCAGAAUACUUCCCCCAGCCAUAUCCCCCUCCAUCAUCUUGAACCCAGUUCUGCCACCACCUUACUGUAUAAAGAUGGACACCACCCCUUGGAGCUUGAAUGUCCCUAACGAUAAAAUAGAGGUAGGUCAUUUCCACCUAUCCUGCCUCUUAAAGCUCUUGUGAGAGUAAAAUGGGACCAGAAAGGAUGGUUCUGAUACCAAUGCCAGACUUGCCCCAUAGACAGCAAACCUGGGAGAGCUAAAGGUGCUGGGACAUGGAGGAAGGAGUGCAGGAGAGGCUGGGUUGAAAGCAAAGAAGUACCUGCAGGUGAAGCAUGAGUGCAGGUGAUUGUGGGAAAUCCAGAAAGGCCUCCAGGUAAGACAGGUGCCCAGACUUCUACCCCAGCAUCCCCCAUCCAUCUGCUGGUGCCCCCCCCCAAUAUCACUAUAUGGGCUAGUUCCAAGGAAGGAGGAAAAUAGACAUAAGUAGGCCAUCCCCAAGCACCUCCCCAUCAUUCAUGCAACACAUAUUUACUGGAUGCUGAUUGUUUGCAGGCUUUGUGCCACAUACUGAGGACACAGAGAUGGCCAAGAUCACUCUCUGCCCUCAAGGAGCUCACUGCCUAGUGAGGGGAAACAGACGUAUAACUAAAAGGAGCCUAAGAAGUGUGCAGGUGCCCUGGGAGACAUCCAUAUGGGGCACCACAGGGACCCAGAUGCACAAGCGGUCAGUUCUACGUCCAAGGCAUGGAAAGACUUCAUGGAGAAGGUGACUUGUGAGCCAACCAUCUUCCAAUGUAGAGGAAAAAGCACAGCUAUUAGCAUCAGGCUGACCUGGAUUCCAAUCCCAGCUUUGCCACUAGACUCACUGGGGAAACUGAAACAAGUUACUCUGAGCUUCACUGCCCUUACCUGGAAAAUGGGGCUUGGUGAUAAGAAAGAAAGAAGGGCGAGGAGGGGAGAGAGAGAAAGAGUGGCUUGUGCAAAUUGCCCAGCCUACAAUGGGCACAUAGUGUUUGCUCCUUCCUAUCCCACCCUGCUGGAAACUGUAAUUCUCCCCUGGUGGCAGGACUUGUGCUCCCCCCAGCAGACUGGAGGCUCUCAGAGGACUGGGUUUAGUGUCCCCCCACCGGGGCUUGCUGGUGCUUAGGAGAGACUACCUAAAGGGUGCAGGAUUUGGAGUCAGAGGACCUGACUUCAAGUUACAGCACAGCCACUUAAGAGCUGUGUGACCUUGGAUACCCACCUAAUGUCUUGAAGGGUCAUUUCAUCCUCUAUUUUGAAAAGAAAAAAAAAAAAACCACCAAAGUUCUGAAUUCAGUUCUCCAGUGGUUUUUACAUGCUCUUGAAACAAAGAUUCAACUAAAAAAAAUUAACCCUAAAAACAUAAUAAAAACAAAAAAUAAAGAAAGAAAGAGCAAGAGAGGGAUAGUUGGGCUUAGCCCACAGGAUGAGUGCAAGAGAAAAUGAGAUGAUGGAUAAGAAAGGGUUCUGGAGGGGCGCCUGGGUAGUGCAGUCAUUAAGCGUCUGCCUUCGGCUCAGGGUGUGAUCCCGGCUUUCCGGGAUCAGAGUCCCACAUCGGGCUCCUCCAUUGGGAACCUGCUUCUUCCUCUCCCACUCCCCCUGCUGUGUUCCCUCUCUCGCUGGCUGUCUCUCUGUCACAUAAAUAAAUAAAAUCUUCAAAAAAAAAGAAAGAAAGAGUUCUGGAACCCAAGAAAUAGGGUACACAUGCACUCAUUGGUUUUCUCCACCUGACUGUUGCUUCCUUGAGGACUGAGAGCACCUCCUGGAGCCCCCAGAGGCAGAAACGUGGCCCUCCUUCCCUGUCAUCUUUUCCAACCCAGGACUCUACCAGAAAAGGAACCUCUGUGGGGCACCAGCCUGGCUCAUCUGGAAGAGCAUGUGACUCUUGAUCUCGGGGUUGUGAGUUCCAGCCCCACACUGGAUUAUUGAAAAAUAAAAUAAAUUUUAAAAAAAGAAAAGAAAAGAAAAAAGAAAAA